UGAGUACGAGACGCUAAGGCGUUGAAGCAGUCUAUGUCAGACUUCCAAGAAAAGCUUGCACUGUCAAAAACAAAUAAUGCCUGUACCAUAACCGACACAGGUGGGUAGGUAGAGUAUACUAAGGGGCGCGAGAUAACUCUCUCUAAGGAACUCGGCAAAAUGACUCCGUAACUUCGGGAGAAGGAGUGCCUUAUUUUUAUAAGGUUGCAAUAACAAGAUCCAAGCAACUGUUUACCAAAAACACAGGUCUCCGCUAAGUCGUAAGACGAUGUAUGGGGGCUGACGCCUGCCCAGUGCCAGAAGGUUAAAGAAGUUGGUUAGUUUCGGCGAAGCUGAUGACUAAGCCCUGGUGAACGGCGGCCGUAACAAUAACGGUCCUAAGGUAGCGAAAUUCCUUGUCGGGUAAGUUCCGACCCGCACGAAAGGCGUAAUGAUUUGGAUACUGUCUCGGAGAGGGGCUCGGUGAAAUAGACUUGUCUGUGAAGAUGCGGACUACCUGCACCUGGACAGAAAUACCCUAUGAAGCUUUACUGUAACUUGAGAUUGAAAUUGGACUUUAUUUGCGCAGUAUAGGUGGGAGACGUUGAGAAUAUUCUUGCGGGAAUAUUGGAGUCAUCAGUGAGAUACCACUCUUGUAAUGUUAGAUUUCUAACUUUGUAUCAUUAUCUGGUCAAAGGACAGUUUCAGGCGGGCAGUUUGACUGGGGCGGUCGCCUCCCAAACGGUAACGGAGGCGCACAAAGGUUUCCUCUGAACGUGUAGAAAUCGUAUCUAGAGUGUAAAGGCAUAAGGAAGCUUGACUGUGAGACCUACAAGUCGAGCAGGGACGAAAGUCGGUCUUAGUGAUCUGACGGUGCUGAGUGGAAAGGCCGUCACUCAACGGAUAAAAGUUACUCUAAGGAUAACAGGCUGAUCACCCCCAAGAGUUCACAUCGACGGGGAGGUUUGGCACCUCGAUGUCGGCUCAUCGCAUCCUGGGGCGGUAGUACGUCCCAAGGGUUGGGCUGUUCGCCCAUGAAAGCGGUACGCGAGCUGGGUUCAGAACGUCGUGAGACAGUUCGGUCCAUAUCCGGUGUAGGCGUUAGAAUAUUGAGAGGAGCCUUCUUUAGUACGAGAGGACCGAGAAGGACAUACCUCUGGUGUACCAGUUAUCGUGCAAACGGUAAACGCUGGGUAGCUAUGUAUGGAGUGGAUAACCGCUGAAAGCAUCUAAGUGGGAAGCCCACCUCAAGAUAAGUAUUCC
rnacentral:rRNA from 1 species